AAUGAAAAAAAAAAAUGAAAUUCUGAGUUCGAAGCACGAGUUUUAAAUUCGAUUGGAGAUUACGGACCAGCUUUUGCUUCUUGUGUCGUCUAUGUUAAGAGUUAAAGACAGCCUAUACAAGGACCGUGCCGACCACAGACUCGUAAUCUUAUCAAAUGAAAGUAGUUUUCUUUUUGAUAAGCACUUUGGAUUAUAUUGGUGUCAAAUUAAUGUCAAAGACCGUCUUUUCACUUUUGUUUGGUGAGCGGCUCAUUAUCACGACUCUCCAGUACACAUAGCAAUGAUUUGAAUUUUUUUGCGUUCUGGAUUCACAUAUUCUCUUUCUAAUUCAAGUGGCAACUUUUUUUUUUUUUCUUUCCCCUGCAAGUAAAAAAUACAAGAGACAAAAAAUUAAUGAAAUUUAUGGUGUAUUUAAUUAGUUUAUUUCCAUUAAUUAAAGUAUUAAACCAUCUUUUAAAUUUGACGGUAAAACAUGUAGAUUUUCUAUGACGGCUUGUAAUAUGAUUUGGUGCGAGAGACGUAAUAGAAUUAAAUUUCAUGCUCCUCUCUUUUUAUUCAAUUGUGUUGGUUAAAUCUUUAUUAACAUAAAAAGGUGGCCAAUGCAUUUACAUCCACAAGAUCAAUAAUUUCGUUUCCUUUCACAUGAAAAAAAGGGUAGACAAACAUACGUUCGCAGAACCCUGAGUAGUUUCAAUGUCAUUUUCAAUAUCUGUAAGGUCGUGAACUUAUAAUACAACAAAGGACAUAUGGAUUCUUUGAUCUCAUCUUAUCUAUAAUUGGAAGAGUUUUAUAAUUUAUGGUGAUUUCAUUUUUUGGUCGCAUUUUGGAUAGUGGUGUAAAUGUG
rnacentral:lncRNA from 1 species